GACGAACGCUGGCGGCGUGCUUAACACAUGCAAGUCGAGCGGAAAGGCCCUUUCGGGGGUACUCGAGCGGCGAACGGGUGAGUAACACGUGAGUAAUCUGCCCUUCACUCCGGGAUAGCCACCGGAAACGGUGAUUAAUACCGGAUACGACCAAUCCCUGCAUGGGGUGUUGGUGGAAACUUUUUGGGUGGGGGAUGUGCUCGCGGCCUAUCAGCUUGUUGGUGGGGUAAUGGCCUACCAAGGCUUCGACGGGUAGCCGGCCUGGGGGGGUGGCCGGCCACACUGGGACUGAGACACGGCCCAGACUCCUACGGGAGGCAGCAGUGGGGAAUAUUGGACAAUGGGCGGAAGCCUGAUCCAGCAACGCCGCGUGAGGGAUGACGGCCUUCGGGUUGUAAACCUCUUUCAGCACCGACGAAGCGAUCCUUUUGGGGAGUGACGGUAGGUGCAGAAGAAGGACCGGCCAACUACAUGCCAGCCGCCGCAGUAACAC
rnacentral:rRNA from 1 species